rnacentral:rRNA from 1 species
UGGGGAAUAUUGCGCAAUGGGGGAAACCCUGACGCAGCAACGCCGCGUGAGUGAUGAAGGCCUUCGGGUUGUAAAGCUCUGUCUUUUGGGACGAUAAUGACGGUACCUGAGGAGGAAGCCACGGCUAACUACGUGCCAGCAGCCGCGGUAAUACGUAGGUGGCAAGCGUUGUCCGGAUUUACUGGGCGUAAAGGGAGCGUAGGCGGACUUUUAAGUGAGAUGUGAAAUACCCGGGCUCAACCUGGGUGCUGCAUUUCAAACUGGAAGUCUAGAGUGCAGGAGAGUAGAGUGGAAUUCCUAGUGUAGCGGUGAAAUGCGUAGAGAUUAGGAAGAACACCAGUGGCGAAGGCGACUCUCUGGACUGUAACUGACGCUGAGGCUCGAAAGCGUGGGGAGCAAACA